rnacentral:rRNA from 1 species
UACGUAGGGUGCAGGCGUUAAUCGGAAUUACUGGGCGUAAAGCGUGCGCAGGCGGUCUAUUAAGACAGGUGUGAAAUCCCCGGGCUUAACCUGGGAACUGCGCUUGUUACUGAUAGGCUUGAGUGUGGCAGAGGGGGUGGAAUUCCACGUGUAGGCAGUGAAAUGCGUAGAGAUGAUGGAGGAACACCUGUGGUGUAGACAGCUUACUGGACCAUUUCUGACGCUGAGACAUCGAAAGCGUGGUAGCAAACAGG